GAUGUCAGGGUCAAAAGGUCUAAACCCACAUGAGCUUGCUCAUAAGUGGGUGAAAGACCUUGGGACCCGCCCCGAUAUGAGCAUAAAAGUGGGAUACAUAUCCCACGAUAUGCGAAUAUGGGGCAGGAUUGUGGAAGUGCGUAGCACGGAGCAAUCCGCUGACA
rnacentral:sRNA from 1 species